CCUACGGGAGGCAGCAGUGAGGAAUAUUGGUCAAUGGGCGCGAGCCUGAACCAGCCAAGUAGCGUGAAGGAUGACUGCCCUACGUGUUGUAAACUUCUUUUAUAAAGGAAUAAAGUGAUGCAUGUGUGCCUUUUUGUAUGUACUUUAUGAAUAAGGAGCGUCUAACUCCGUGCCAGCAGCCGCGGUAAUACGGAGGAUGCGAGCGUUAUCCGGAUUUAUUGGGUUUAAGGGGUGCGCAGGCGGAAGCUCAAGUCAGCGGUAAAAUUGAGAGGCUCAACCUCUUCGAGCCGUUGAAACUGGUUUUCUUGAGUGAGUGAGAGGUAAGCGGAAUGCGUGGUGUAGCGGUGAAAUGCAUAGAUAUCACGAAGAACUCCGAUUGCGAAGGCAGCAUACCGGCGCUCAACUGACGCUCAUGCACGAAAGUGUGGGUAUCGAACAGGAUUAGAUACCCUAGUAGUC
rnacentral:rRNA from 1 species